rnacentral:rRNA from 1 species
UACAGGGGGUGCAAACGUUGCUCGGAAUCAUUGGGCGUAAAGCGCACGUAGGCGGUCUGUUAUGUCGGACGUGAAAUCCCUCAGCUUAACUGGGGAACUGCGUCCGAUACUGGAUGGCUCGAGUUUGGGAGAGGGAUGCGGAAUUCCAGGUGUAGCGGUGAAAUGCGUAGAUAUCAGGAGGAACACCGGUGGCGAAGGCGGCUCUCUGGACCACAACUGACGCUGAGGCGCGAAAGCUAGGGGAGCAAACAGG